UACGUAGGUGGCGAGCGUUGUCCGGAUUUAUUGGGUUUAAAGGGUGCGUAGGCGGCUUUGUAAGUCAGUGGUGAAAUACUCCAGCUUAACUGGAGGGGUGCCAUUGAUACUGCGGAGCUUGAGUACAGAUGAGGUAGGCGGAAUUGACGGCGUAGCGGUGGAAUGCGCAGAUAUCAGGAGGAACACCGAUGGCGAAGGCAGGUCACUGGGCCGCAACUGACGCUGAGGAGCGAAAGCAUGGGGAGCGAACAGG
rnacentral:rRNA from 1 species